GCUGCGGUGGUGUAAUGGUCAGCAUAUCUGCCUAGUAAGCAAGAAGUUCCGGGUUUGAGUCCUGGCCGCAGCA